rnacentral:rRNA from 1 species
GAUGAACGCUGGCGGCGUGCCUAAUACAUGCAAGUCGAGCGAACGGACGAGAAGCUUGCUUCUCUGAUGUUAGCGGCGGACGGGUGAGUAACACGUGGAUAACCUACCUAUAAGACUGGGAUAACUUCGGGAAACCGGAGCUAAUACCGGAUGAUAUUUUGAACCGCAUGGUUCAAAAGUGAAAGACGGUCUUGCUGUCACUUAUAGAUGGAUCCGCGCUGCAUUAGCUAGUUGGUAAGGUAACGGCUUACCAAGGCAACGAUGCAUAGCCGACCUGAGAGGGUGAUCGGCCACACUGGAACUGAGACACGGUCCCGACUCCUAAGGGAGGCAGGAGUAGGGAAUCUUCCGCAAUGGGCGAAAGCCUGACGGAGCAACGCCGCGUGAGUGAUGAAGGUCUUCGGAUCGUAAAACUCUGUUAUUAGGGAAGAACAUAUGUGUAAGUAACUGUGCACAUCUUGACGGUACCUAAUCAGAAAGCCACGGCUAACUACGUG